rnacentral:lncRNA from 1 species
UCACGUCCUACACCGUCCAUAAGAUGGGGGGCCACCUCCCAUUUCAUCACUCCUCAAACACCCGAGGAGCCGGCAGGCGGAUUUGAACCCGGGUCGACUGGGUCGACUGGGAGCAGAAGUCAGGCCUUAACCUCUGCCAGCCGCCUGCCAUAACAGAUCGUCACCAGGGGUUCGCACGUGGUCCCCCACCGUACUACUGAUCUGGCCCAAUGUUGCUUAUGUGCCCAGUGCUGAUGGGAUGGGCAGUGUUCAACACCUAUGCAUGUGCUCUAUCCAUCUAGUUCGUUGUUUGACAUGCCCAAAGAGUGUGUGUGUGUGUGUUGGUUGGUUGGUUGGUUGCAGGUCCAGGUGUAUGUCCUAGGUAUUGUGCGCUCUGUCACAUGCCAACGACACCCAGGCAGGAAGGGAGGAAUGAUCUGUUAAAGAGAACUCGGGAAUAAACAGCAGGGAGCACCAAACACUCGCUGGGUUGGUAUAAAUGUAUCCAGCAGAGGCACACACACACACACACAUACACACACACACACACACAACACAAGAAAAACAAUCCACUGGAUCAUUUGUGCUAUAUAGUUGUUCCCCCUUCUGCCCGUAUUAAGGUAUUACUACUCGUUUUUCCUUGAUGUAGCCAGCACUGAAACGGCACCAUGCAUGUUUGGCUUUACGACAUAGUUUAUAAGCUAGUUGCUAUUCUGGGGAUGCGAGCAUCAAAGGUACGACAUGGGUGUGUCGGUGGCCCUACGGCCCUACAAUAGUCACGAUUGCCACCUCGAGCUCGUCAGGAAUAUGUUGUCAACAUGGCCCUCUAUACACAGCAUGCACAUGCUACCAUGCCAUACCACAUCCUUGGAUACCAGGUGUGAUACCAGGUUUCGGUUUCAUCUUUUGAUGUUUUAUGGAUAUGUAUCCAGGCAAGCAUGCGCAAAUAGGUGUCCUUGAAGAGGUGGUGAACACAAAGUGUUCUAGGAUGGUGGUUCAGCGAAACCACCAUGAAGAACCUCGGUCGUGGAGAUGAAAACCGCCGACACGGGGAAUCGAACCCCGGCCUCCCGCGUUCCGUGUCUUGGCUCGAGUCCUGACAGGCGGGGAUACUGACCACUAUACGAUGUCGACCCUCUGUGACGUGCCUACUUCAGCUCGACUCCAUGACUCAUCCUUUCGCUACCGGGACUCGAACCCGGGUCUCGGGAGUGAGAAUCUCGCAUCCUAACCGCCUAGACUAUAGCGAAGGAUUGAAUACACACACCUCUUCCAAGAGAUGCUUUGAAGGCCUCCUGUCGGGACCAGCAAGGACCACAGCAUCCACACCAAAUGCUUGCCCAUGCAUCCGUGAUAAAUGGAUGCUGCAGAGAUUCUGUAAAGAAUCCGCAACUCUUUGCUAAUAAUAAUCGUAACCUGCAUGCAUAAUAUGUGUGAAUUACGGUGUGCAUCAGCGAUGAAAGGGUUGAGAGUCGCUAGUAGUCAACAGUUAUUUUAAUCUGUAUAUGCACCGGCAGCCCCUAUAUCCGUGUUGCCUAACUACCGACAUCAUCCACCAGUACUGGAACACGGUUUCGAUGUUUGUUCGACCAACUCACAUUCCAGCACCCUAUUAGAAGUCAUCCGCCCCACUUUUCAAGUUUUUUGGACAGUUUACCAUGAUACAUGGCCAGAUAGAAAGCUGGCUAAUGUCAGUUGCAUUUGCAGGACCAUUUUUGCUCCAUGCCAGAUUUGAACCUNNNNNNNNNNNNNNNNNNNNNNNNNNNNNNNNNNNNNNNNNNNNNNNNNNCAAUAUUAGCUCAACUUCAGCAGCAAUCUGGAGCUUGCGGAUUGCUGUGCACCUGUGGCCGAGUGGUUAAGGCGCCGCCCUGCUAAGGCGGUGGGGUUUCCCCGCGUGCGUUCGAAUCGCAUCGGGUGCGGCAUUGGAUUUUGGUCCAUGUAGUCCCACAGGCACUCCCACAGGCACUCCCAGCAGAUCGCUGGCUUCCGGCCAUCAAACCUGCAGCAGCUGCGGUUGUCAUCCUACGGUGACAGCACCACAGCAGCUGGGUUUUCCAUGUCGUGUCACAGUUCGGAUGCCAAGUCUACCACGCACUAGCGCAUUGUAGUGCAGUUUCCUUGCUGUUGCUAAUGCAACUGCCUUUGCUACUUGACUUUGGGCCGCCCACCCCCAACAGCUCUGUUUUCCAUGUCAUCCCACAACUCUGAUGCCAAGUAUACUGCACACUAGCUGAAUGCAGUUUCGUUGCUUUUCCUAAAGCAAGCAAGUGCCUUGCUAAGUGGGCGUGAUUGAUGGGGGUGGCCAGGAGCGAUUGGAAAAUGAUGGCCUGCACGCGUUGUAGCUGCCAGCCAGGUCAAAAGUGGCUCUGCCACCGCCUUUUACGCCCGAGGUGGGGCUCGAACCCACGACCACAAGAUUAAGAGCCUUGCGCUCGACCGACUGAGCUACCCGGGCAGUGCACGAUUUCCAAGUCGCCACAUGGAAAUGCAUCAAUACUGCAGUCUACUACUCAUAAAUCCAAAGACUGCGAAACAAACACAAAAACGGUUACAGCUUUCCUGUUUGCCCACUUGCCCAUGUACAUGUGUACUGUUAUAUUAUGUAUGUCCUAUAUAUACGAGGUUGGCAACGCUGGAUUUUCGGUACCUCCUUAUUGAAGGCACACCUAUGCAUGUGCUCUAUCCAUCUAGUUCGUUGUUUGACAUGCCCAAAGAGUGUGUGUGUGUGUGUGUGUUGGUUGGUUGGUUGGUUGCAGGUCCAGGUGUAUGUCCUAGGUAUUGUGCGCUCUGUCACAUGCCAACGACACCCAGGCAGGAAGGGAGGAAUGAUCUGUUAAAGAGAACUCGGGAAUCACUGGAUCAUUUGUGCUAUAUAGUUGUUCCCCCUUCUGCCCGUAUUAAGGUAUUACUACUCGUUUUUCCUUGAUGUAGCCAGCACUGAAACGGCACCAUGCAUGUUUGGCUUUACGACAUAGUUUAUAAGCUAGUUGCUAUUCUGGGGAUGCGAGCAUCAAAGGUACGACAUGGGUGUGUCGGUGGCCCUACGGCCCUACAAUAGUCACGAUUGCCACCUCGAGCUCGUCAGGAAUAUGUUGUCAACAUGGCCCUCUAUACACAGCAUGCACAUGCUACCAUGCCAUACCACAUCCUUGGAUACCAGGUGUGAUACCAGGUUUCGGUUUCAUCUUUUGAUGUUUUAUGGAUAUGUAUCCAGGCAAGCAUGCGCAAAUAGGUGUCCUUGAAGAGGUGGUGAACACAAGUGUUCUAGGAUGGUGGUUCAGCGAAACCACCAUGAAGAACCUCGGUCGUGGAGAUGAAAACCGCCGACACGGGGAAUCGAACCCCGGCCUCCCACGUUCCGUGUCUUGGCUCGAGUCCUGACAGGCGGGGAUACUGACCACUAUACGAUGUCGACCCUCUGUGACGUGCCUACUUCAGCUCGACUCCAUGACUCAUCCUUUCGCUACCGGGACUCGAACCUGGGUCUCGAGAGUGAGAAUCUCGCAUCCUAACCGCCUAGACUAUAGCGAAGGAUUGAAUACACA